rnacentral:lncRNA from 1 species
UCAAAAUUUACAAGCAACAAAAGCAGUAAUAUCUAAAUCACUACAUACAUUACAAUUUACGCAUAAUAGUUCGGUCCUGGAACUCAUUGUACAAGCCCAAAUUUACUCGGGGCCCAAUAUGGUCCAAAUAAAACCAACCCAAUACCCACCUAGACCUAACCCAAAAUCAGCCCAAUAGUAAAAACCCUAGCCCAAACCAUAAUAGAAAAAAAAAACAAAAAAAAACCUAGCCUCCAUAACCCUAGCCGCCGCUCUAGCCUCUGUCAUGCCUACCACUGUUGCCUACAGCACACCAACUCCACCUGCUUCACCA